rnacentral:rRNA from 1 species
GGUCAAGCGAAUAAGCGCACACGGUGGAUGCCUAGGCGGUCAGAGGCGAUGAAGGACGUGGUAGCCUGCGAAAAGUGUCGGGGAGCUGGCAACAAGCUUUGAUCCGGCAAUAUCCGAAUGGGGAAACCCACUGCUUCGGCAGUAUCUUGCAGUGAAUUCAUAGCUGCUUGAAGCGAACCCGGUGAACUGAAAUAUCUAAGUAACCGGAGGAAAAGAAAUCAACCGAGAUUCCCUGAGUAGUGACGAGCGAACGGGGAACAGCCCUUAAGCUGGAAUGGCUUUAGAAAAACAAUCUGGAAAGAUUGGCCAUAGAAGGUGAUAGCCCUGUAUUUAAAAGGGCCACUCCAGUGAAGACGAGUAGGGCGGGGCACGUGAAACCCUGUCUGAAUAUGGUGGGACCAUCCUCCAAGGCUAAAUACUCCUGACCGACCGAUAGUGAACCAGUACCGUGAGGGAAAGGCGAAAAGAACCCCGGAGAGGGGAGUGAAAUAGAUCCUGAAACCGUGUGCGUACAAGCAGUAGGAGCUCGCAAGAGUGACUGCGUACCUUUUGUAUAAUGGGUCAGCGACUUACUGUUCGUGGCAAGCUUAACCGUAUAGGGGAGGCGAAGGGAAACCGAGUCUGAUAAGGGCGCAUAGUCGCGGGCAGUAGACCCGAAACCGGGUGAUCUAGUCAUGGCCAGGGUGAAGGUGCCGUAACAGGUACUGGAGGCCCGAACCCACGUCUGUUGCAAAAGACGGGGAUGAGCUGUGAUUAGGAGUGAAAAGCUAAUCGAACCCGGAGAUAGCUGGUUCUCCUCGAAAGCUAUUUAGGUAGCGCCUCGGACGAAUACUACUGGGGGUAGAGCACUGUUAUGGCUAGGGGGUCAUCGCGACUUACCAAACCAUUGCAAACUCCGAAUACCAGUACGUACUAUCCGGGAGACACACGGCGGGUGCUAACGUCCGUCGUGAAAAGGGAAACAACCCAGACCCACAGCUAAGGUCCCAAAUUCACUGCUAAGUGGAAAACGAUGUGGAAAGGCAUAGACAGCCAGGAGGUUGGCUUAGAAGCAGCCACCCUUUAAAGAAAGCGUAAUAGCUCACUGGUCGAGUCGGUCUGCGCGGAAGAUUUAACGGGGCUAAGCAGUGAACCGAAGCUUGGGGUGCGUAAAACUUCGGUUUUAUGCGCGGUAGAGGAGCGUUCCGUAAGCCUGCGAAGGUGGAUUGAGAAGUCUGCUGGAGGUAUCGGAAGUGCGAAUGCUGACAUGAGUAACGAUAAUGCGGGUGAAAAGCCCGCACGCCGAAAGCCCAAGGUUUCCUUGCGCAACGUUAAUCGACGCAGGGUUAGUCGGUCCCUAAGGCGAGGGCGAAAGCCGUAGUCGAUGGGAAGCAGGUUAAUAUUCCUGCACCUCGCGUGAGUGCGAUGGAGGGACGGAGAAGGUUAGGUGUACCGGGCGUUGGUUGUCCCGGGGAAAGGCGGUAGGUUUGGAUCUUUGGCAAAUCCGGGAUCCUUUAAGACCGAGCACCGAGACGAGCCUUUAUGGCGAAGUCACUGAUACCACGCUUCCAGGAAAAGCUCCUAAGCUUCAGCUCACGAAGACCGUACCGUAAACCGACACAGGUGGGUAGGAUGAGAAUUCUCAGGCGCUUGAGAGAACUCGGGUGAAGGAACUAGGCAACAUGGCACCGUAACUUCGGGAGAAGGUGCACCCUUUUUGGUGGCUCAUGCGAGCUAUAGCUGAAGAGGGUCGCAGAAACCAGGCCGCUGCGACUGUUUAUCAAAAACACAGCACUCUGCAAACACGAAAGUGGACGUAUAGGGUGUGACGCCUGCCCGGUGCUGGAAGGUUAAUUGAUGGGGUCAGCCGCAAGGCGAAGCUCUUGAUCGAAGCCCCAGUAAACGGCGGCCGUAACUAUAACGGUCCUAAGGUAGCGAAAUUCCUUGUCGGGUAAGUUCCGACCUGCACGAAUGGCGUAACGACAGCGGCGCUGUCUCCACCCGAGACUCAGUGAAAUUGAAAUCGCUGUGAAGAUGCAGCGUUCCCGUGGCAAGACGGAAAGACCCCGUGAACCUUUACUAUAGCUUUACACUGAACGUUGAGUUCGUCUGUGUAGGAUAGGUGGGAGGCUAUGAAACUGUGGCGCUAGCUGCAGUGGAGCCAACCUUGAAAUACCACCCUGUCGUGCUUGACGUUCUAACCUAGAUCCGUUAUCCGGAUCAGGGACCGUGUAUGGUGGGUAGUUUGACUGGGGCGGUCUCCUCCUAAAGAGUAACGGAGGAGCACGAAGGUACGCUCAGCGCGGUCGGACAUCGCGCACUGUGUGCAAAGGCAUAAGCGUGCUUGACUGCAAGAUCGACGGAUCAAGCAGGUACGAAAGUAGGUCUUAGUGAUCCGGUGGUUCUGUAUGGAAGGGCCAUCGCUCAACGGAUAAAAGGUACUCCGGGGAUAACAGGCUGAUACCGCCCAAGAGUUCAUAUCGACGGCGGUGUUUGGCACCUCGAUGUCGGCUCAUCACAUCCUGGGGCUGUAGUCGGUCCCAAGGGUAUGGCUGUUCGCCAUUUAAAGUGGUACGCGAGCUGGGUUCAGAACGUCGUGAGACAGUUCGGUCCCUAUCUGCCAUGGGCGUUGGAAGUUUGAGAGGGGCUGCUCCUAGUACGAGAGGACCGGAGUGGACGAACCUCUGGUGUUCCGGUUGUCACGCCAGUGGCAUUGCCGGGUAGCUAUGUUCGGAAGCGAUAACCGCUGAAAGCAUCUAAGCGGGAAGCGCGCCUCAAGAUGAGACUUCCCGGGGCACAAGCCCCCUAAAGGAACCAUAUAGACUAUGUGGUUGAUAGGUCAGGUGUGUAAGUACAGCAAUGUAUUGAGCUAACUGAUACUAAUGAUCCGUGCGGCUUGACCAU